rnacentral:misc_RNA from 1 species
UUCCAUCCUUCUUUUUACGCCAACUAUGACCAUCUUUACGGAAGUACCUGAGGACCCUCUUAUUAAAGAGAAACAUAGAUCCACUAGCUGGCUUUUGAGGUGGUUGAUGCGCAAGUUGGCGAUCGUCAUGAUUCUGUAGUAUGAAGAGCACCUCUGCAGGUCUUAACCACCUAAAACGUCCUUCCUGAACCAAAUCAUUUGUGUUGUAUCCUGAUUCUGCCAUACUUGUGAUUCGCCGUCAUGAAGAAUUACAGUAAAAACUGUGUCAUCUCAAAUUUGCAUAUUUCGGUGGCAAGAGAUAAGAAAUUGUGUCCUUUGACAUAAUCACGGCAUAAG